UACGGAGGGUGCAAGCGUUAUCCGGAUUCACUGGGUUUAAAGGGUGCGUAGGUGGGUCUGUAAGUCAGUGGUGAAAUCUCCGGGCUUAACCUGGAAACUGCCAUUGAUACUAUAGGUCUUGAAUUAUCUGGAGGUCAGCGGAAUAUGUCAUGUAGCGGUGAAAUGCUUAGAUAUGACAUAGAACACCAAUUGCGAAGGCAGCUCGUUACACGAAUAUUGACUCUGAGGCACGAAAGCGUGGGGAUCAAACAGG
rnacentral:rRNA from 1 species